UGGGGAAUAUUGCGCAAUGGGGGGAACCCUGACGCAGCCAUGCCGCGUGAAUGAAGAAGGCCUUUGGGUUGUAAAGUUCUUUCGGUAUUGAGGAAGGUUGAUGUGUUAAUAGUACAUCAAAUUGACGUUAAAUACAGAAGAAGCACCGGCUAACUCCGUGCCAGCAGCCGCGGUAAUACGGAGGGUGCGAGCGUUAAUCGGAAUAACUGGGCGUAAAGGGCACGCAGGCGGUUAUUUAAGUGAGGUGUGAAAGCCCCGGGCUUGACCUGGGAAUUGCAUUUCAGACUGGGUAACUAGAGUACUUUAGGGAGGGGUAGAAUUCCACGUGUAGCGGUGAAAUGCGUAGAGAUGUGGAGGAAUACCGAAGGCGAAGGCAGCCCCUUGGGAAUGUACUGACGCUCAUGUGCGAAAGCGUGGGGAGCAAACAGGAUUAGAUACCCUGGUAGUCCACGCUGUAAACGCUGUCGAUUUGGGGGUUGGGGUUUAACUCUGGCGCCCGUAGCUAACGUGAUAAAUCGACCGCCUGGGGAGUACGGCCGCAAGGUUA
rnacentral:rRNA from 1 species